UCAAACCCAUGUUGUUUAAGGGUCAACUGUAUAAUCAAUAUGCCAAGAAAAGGGAGAAAAUGAAAUCAUAUAAUGUGCUCAGUUAAAACCACAAAAGGCAGAAAAAGUGUAAAAGACGGAAAUAGGAACAAAGAACAGGGGCCACACACAGAAACCUGUAAUAAAUAUGAUAGAUACUAGUCCAGACUAUAUCAAUAAUCACUGUGGUUAAAUAUACCAAUUAAAAGACAGAGAUUAGUAGAGUGAAUUAAAAAGCAAGACCCAACUAUAUGUUAUCAACUAGAAACCCACUUUAAGUUUAAAGACACAAAGAUUAAAAGUAAAGGAAUGGAGAAAGAUAUAUCAUGCUAACAUUAACCAAAAUAAACUGAGGGUAGCUAUAUUAAUAGUAGACUUCAGAGCACUGUACGUUAUCAGGGAUAAAUAGGACGUAAUGACAAAGGGUAAGUAAUCCAAGAAGAUACAACAAUUCUUAAUAUCUAUAUGCCUAACAACAAAGCAUCAGAAUAUGUGAGGCAAAAACUGAUAGAACUACAAUGAGAAAUAUAUGAAUGUACUAUUAUAAUUGGACACUUUAACACUCCUGUAUCAGAAAUUGACAACUCCAGUAGACAAAAAAUCAAUAAAGACAUAGUUGAAGUUGAUAGCAGUAUCAAUCAACUGGGUAUAAUUGACAUCUAUAGACUACUUCAAAUAACAGCAGAUUACACAUUCUUCUCAAGCUUACACGGAACAUUCACCAAGAUAAACUUCAUUCUAGGCCAUAAAACAAACCUUAACAAACUAGAGAUCAUGCCAUAUCUGUUCUCAAAGCACAAUAAAAUUAAAUAGAAACCAGUAACUGAAAGAUAGCUAGAAAAUCCCAAAAUAUGUGGAAGAUUAAACAACUUCUAAAUAAUACAUAGUUCAAAGAAGGAAUCUCAAAAACACUUAAAAAUAUUUUGAAAUAAAUCAAAAUGAAAAUACAGUUUAUCAAAAUUUGUGAGAUGUAGUGAAACCAGAGCUUAGAGGGGAAUUUAUUGGAUUGAAUGCAUUUAUUAGAAAAGAUGAAAGAUCCAAAAUUGGCGUGAGCCACCGUGUCUAGCCGGUAUUAUUCUUACUAAAACAAUUUUUAAAAAUGUGGACAGAAUAAUAGAGUUAGUACCUUUGAAAAGUAUGGGGGAA
rnacentral:lncRNA from 1 species